rnacentral:rRNA from 1 species
ACGGAAGGCAGCAGUAGGGAAUCUUCCACAAUGGGCGAAAGCCUGAUGGAGCAACGCCGCGUGAGUGAAGAAGGAUUUCGGUUCGUAAAACUCUGUUGCAAGGGAAGAACAAGUAGCGUAGUAACUGGCGCUACCUUGACGGUACCUUGUUAGAAAGCCACGGCUAACUACGUGCCAGCAGCCGCGGUAAUACGUAGGUGGCAAGCGUUGUCCGGAAUUAUUGGGCGUAAAGCGCGCGCAGGUGGUUCCUUAAGUCUGAUGUGAAAGCCCACGGCUCAACCGUGGAGGGUCAUUGGAAACUGGGGAACUUGAGUGCAGAAGAGGAAAGUGGAAUUCCAAGUGUAGCGGUGAAAUGCGUAGAGAUUUGGAGGAACACCAGUGGCGAAGGCGACUUUCUGGUCUGUAACUGACACUGAGGCGCGAAAGCGUGGGGAGCAAACAGGAUUAGAUACCCUGGUA